AAAAUGUUUAAUUUUGGCUUGAAUUUUUACGUUUUUAUUAAAAUUGCAUGAAAAUUAUUAGUAUGUAUAAGUAUAUUUAAUUUUAUAUUAAAUAUUUUUUUGAAUAAAUAUAAUUAUGAAAUUAUAUAGUCUCAGCAUAAAUUAUUAAUAUUUAUAUACGAAAGUAUGAAUUAGUAAUAAUAAUUAAAUCUGAUAAAUAUUUGUGCCAGCAUUCGCGGUUAUACUUUAAGAUUAAGUAAAAAAGAUUAGCGUUUAGUUAAAUGAAAAUUUUAUAGAUGUUAUAAAUAAUAAAAGGUAAAAUUUAAUUGUUAUUUUAUAUUACAUUAGUGAUUGUAAUUGAAGCUAAAAAAUCUAAUUAUAAACUAGGAUUAGAUACCCUAUUAUUUUAGGAAAAAAUAUAAAGCUAGAUUAGUAUUAGUUAAAUACUUAAAAAUUAAAAGAUUUGGCGGUGAUUUAAUCUUUUCAGAGGAAUUUGUUUUUUAAUCGAUAAACCACGAAGAAUCUUACUUGUUUUUGUUAAAUAAUCAGUUUGUAUACCAUCAUUAUCAGAUAAUUCUAAAAAGAAAAAUUAUCAAAUUUAAAUAUUUAUUAAAAUUAGAUCAUGGUGCAGCUUAUAAACAAGGUAAAAUGAAUUACAAUAAAUUGUUUUAUAAUGAAUUAAUAAGAUAAUUCUUAUUAUGAAGGAGGAUUUGAUGGUAUUAUAAAUUUAAUAAGUUUAUAGGAUAAAGGCUCUAAAUCAUGUACAUAUCGCCCGUCGCUUUCAUUUAUAAAUGAAAUAAGUCGUAACAUAGUAGAUGUACUGGAAAGUGUAUCUAGAAUUAU
rnacentral:ncRNA from 1 species